GUUAUACACACACACAUAUAUAUAAAUACAGAGACAAUAUAAAUAAAAUAUACGAAGGGGAUAAAUAGAAUAAAUAGGAAUAAAAAUAAAAAUACAAGUGAAUUGCACAUUUCAAGUAUUGAGUCUAUUGCACCGUUGACUAUUUACAAAAGUAUUGCACAAAAGGUAUUGCACAGUGAGGUGAAGAGGCACUACAGCUUAGUUGUUCCCUCCUUUGUCCUCCUGUCUCCCCUCCCUCUCCCCUCCAGAGAGGAGUUAAACAGUCUGAUGGCGUGUGGGACAAAGGAGUUUUUAAGUCUGUUAGUUCUUGUCUUUGGGAGAAGCAACCUGUCACUGAACAGACUCUUCUGGUUGUUAAUGGCCGUUUUUUUCUUUUUUUUUUUAAAUGACAUCAGAAACAGCAGUAUGCGACAUUACGUGAUGGCAGAGCUUCAGUUCAUCCUUUGUCAUUUUUUUUUUUUUUUUUAAAUAAAUAGGACAGGGGGAAUGAAUGAGAGAAAGAGGGGGAGAGAAAGAAAGAAAACCAAAGGGGAGCAGAGACGGUGAGAAGGGGGGGGAAGAGAGAGAAAAAAAAAAAAAAGAACUCCUGGGUCACCUGUAUGGAGAAAAAAAACAAACAAACAAACAAAAAAAACAAACAGAGGAGACAGCAAACAACAAAGAGCAACAUAAUAAUAGAGAAAACAAAGCACCAUCACAAUAAACUAGCUAGUCAUAGAUAUCAAUAUUUACUAAAUAAUAAACGAUAUUGUGCAGCACGCAAGAUAGACAGCGCACAGUGUGCUUUGAGGCAGCAGCCAAGAAAGCUUUAGUCCGCGUCUGUGAAUACCCAUGUGUGCAUACCUGUGUGGAUCAGCAUGCUUGCAUUCCAAAGGUUUCUCCAUGUAAUGAUCUGCUAGGGAGUGUGGGGGGGCCACAGCCCCGUCCUCCAGGGUGUGAAGCGGGUAUGGAGGAGAUCAAAACUCCAGACAUCCAGAGGCCCCCAGAACACAAGAGACCAUGGAAGACCAACAGAGGGGCAGCCGCGCCACUGUUCCAGUAAGAGCUGAGGAGAGUCCCAGAUGAGGGCUCACCCAGCAGCCGCGGAGCAGAAGUCAGGGGGAGUUGCAGUGACGCGCCCGUGAGCUCCGCCGGCCCCCAGCCGUGCCUGAGUGACCGAGCCCCAGGCCGAGAGGCCGGGGGCACCCCACCUCCAAAGGGGCCCGAGUGAGCCCCAGGCCCCAGGCCCCAGGCCCCGACAAGCGGCCGCCAAGGAGUGAGCCGGUGUGUACCCGGACGCCCACCCCCAGACACAAAGAACCACCAACACACCGACACCUGAGGGAGUCCGCCACCGGCAGGGGAAGUGGUGGUGGGGGGAGAUAGGCCUCCAAACCUUGGAGGGCCUGAGAUGUCCCCAGAGAGGUGGCGUCUGACACCCAACCUGACAUAUAGACACAGAC
ensembl:lncRNA